ACGGUCUAUUUUUUGAGUCCCUUCGUCUGACAGGGAAAGAUUGCAACUACCGCAACUCUCUUUACGUAGCGGGUGUCCCUUUGUGCCUCCCACUCCCUUCCCGGUCCGGGCUAAUCGAGCACCAUGGGGAACUACAUGCGACAUGGAGAUCAGGCAGGAGACACACAGCAAGCGAAAGAUGCACAUGAACUGAGGGCUAUUGCAUAUUGAAAAGCGGGGGAUGGGAGGAAGAGCAAGGAGAGGAACGAAACAACGAAGGGCUGCUGAGAACACCAGGAAAGCCAUCAUAGGCGCAUUCAAAAGCGUUUUUUCUUCGGCUAUUCUAAGGCGUUUCCUCGAUCAAAAUCCUGACUCUUGACCAAAUCCGAUGAAGAAUUCCCAGUCAAGCGAAUGGAAAUGCAAGAUCCAUUUAGCAAUACUACGCUACGUAGCCGCCUGCUGCUAAGCAUAACUAAGGCUGGCUCGCUUCGUGCGUAGUUCAGAAUUGAACCAUUCUACAGCAGCAAGCCGAGGAUGGAUGAUGACCUCGAAGAAAGCAACGUUCGACGAGCAUCUCGAUUUUCUAUUAUCCGCGUCAACCAAUACCUGCGAGUCAGUACCCAACAGGCAUAUCUAACUUGUAUCAUGCCCGACCGUCGUCACAUAUGUGCAUGUGGGUGGCUCGUGGAUGAUUGUUGAUACCGAACGCGGAGUCGACCAUCUCAUGGCAAGAGACCAGUCAGAGUACUGACUGUUCUUUAUGAAACGUUAUCAAUUCCAAAAAUUUCUUGACCCGACACUCUUCCCCACUUUCUGGCCUCUCCCCCAAGACUUUCGAAUACCUCCCACAUCACUCUCACACUACUCAGUAAUCCAUGUCCCUCGUUUUCCACAGCUUCCAGCUCAACAUCAUUCAUGCACCUUUCCAACCACCUCAUACUCCUUUCCGAUAUCCUGUCAUCUUCUCUACCCCACCAAAUCUUGACCGGAUGUGUUAUUUGGGCGUAAUCUACAAUGUUUUGAUUGCUGACAUUGUUCUUGUCGAGAAUGAUAGAGAGCAAGUCUGAUGUCGUUCCAGGCUCGCACUCUGCAUGCGAUGCCUGCAUGAGGGCGAGCAUAAAAGACGAUCCCUUUGGAGCUUUAGGUCGAUCUGGCUCGGAAGGUGUCGGGGAAGGUGAAGUAGUGGGGCGAAACGAAGAGUAAGAGGGAUUGAACUUGAUUGAAGAUGGGGGUGGCAUAGUCAUCGGCAUGGCAUCAAAACCUUCACCUAAACCAAAAUCGAGCUCGUCAUCAAAAUCAGGAUCAGAAUCGUUGCCUUCUUCUGGUAACGGGGAAGGCUGCAAUGAGCGGAGUAAUGGAGAAGCACGAGCAGGGUUGGUAUUAAUGGGGGAUGUAGAGAGGAUAUUUUUAGUAUGGGUGCGCAGGUUUUCGAGGGGACGGAUAUUCUUUGAGGGCCGGUGUCUCAUGGGAUCAUCCUGCCCUGGGAGGAUAUCCAUUGAUCGAGGUCCAAAAGUCUUGGACACUAACCUGACCAGGCUCGCUCCCUUGAUAGAUGUCGCUCUACCAACCUUUCCUCUUGAUAUUGACCCUUCAUCACCCUCGUGCACAGGGGCGUAUGCUCGCUUGGAAUUUGAGGACGGAGUAUAGUUAUGAGAUAUUGUGGCAUGUGCAUCAUGUUCGAUAGGUUUGUAUAUGAGUGGUGGGGGUUUCCCAAGAAGCAUUCACCCACGGUGCCAACAAAUGAACCUUUCCUCUCACUCUCUCGCUCAUCUCCAUCACAGUAGCCAGGGCAUACGGUGCCCCUGCACUAUGAGCGACCACCUGUACUUUGUCCAACUCCAUCUCAUCCAAAACCUUUCCCACUAUUUUUGCCCACUCAUUUACAUCCCUCUUGUCUUGUGGCACCUGAUCAGUUUUGCCUAGGCCCCAGCGGUCAAUGCAGAUAAGACGAAGGUUAAAUGCCCGGGCAAUGUCAUCAAAUAGAGCGAUGAGGUAACGCACGCACCCAAGUCCGAGAAAAAAGAGGACAGGGUGACCUUUAGGGUGCCCAGCUUCAGCAUAGGAUACACGUAAUGCACUCUCUGGUGAAUUUCGCGGGAUGAUGACGGUUCGAUUGAGAACUUUGUGUGACAGGGAAGCUUAAACGCUUGGAUGCACGAGAGGAAGGACGACGGUGUUUAGGAUGUUUAGUAUCAGACGCUUGAGAUCGUAGGGAUGUCACAGAGUCACGAUCAACUCCUUGAUCUAGAAGGGUUUGACCCAUGCGGACGCCUCUAAGGAAGCUAUCACCGCUGAGUCCUAGAUUGCUAGAGUUGGCUGUAGCAGCGGUCAUCGAUCGGGCCACGUUUCGGAUAGCUGGAGAAGGACAAGAAGGGAGUAAAAGUUGCUGCCGAUCCAUAGAAAGCUUAUUUCGUGGGAAGGAAUUGUGUCCCUUAGGUUGAGAUGGAUGAGGGCGUGAUGUAGGGAUGGCCGGGGACAAUGGGGGU
rnacentral:sRNA from 1 species